rnacentral:rRNA from 1 species
ACGCUGGCGGUAUGCCUAACACAUGCAAGUCGUACGAGAGUUUUUAACUCUAGUGGCGGACGGGUGAGUAACACGUGAGAAUUUGCCUUUAGGAGGGGGAUAACAAUUGGAAACGAAUGCUAAUACCCCAUAUGCUUUUGAGUGAAAUGGAUUUAUAUUUAUCCGCCUAGAGAGAAGCUCGCGGCUGAUUAGCUUGUUGGUAAGGUAAGAGCUUACCAAGGCGACGAUCAGUAUCUGGUUUGAGAGGACGAUCAGACACACUGGAACUGAGACACGGUCCAGACUCCUACGGGAGGCAGCAGUGGGGAAUUUUCCGCAAUGGGCGAAAGCCUGACGGAGCAAUACCGCGUGAGGGAAGACUGCCUAUGGGUUGUAAACCUCUUUUUUCAGGGAGGAAUAAAAUGACGUGUACCUGAAGAAUAAGCAUCG